GAUGAACGCUGACAGAAUGCUUAACACAUGCAAGUCAACUUGAACUUCGGUUUGGGUGGCGGACGGGUGAGUAACGCGUAAAGAACUUGCCUCACAGAUAGGGACAACAUUUGGAAACGAAUGCUAAUACCUGAUAUUAUGAUUAUAUGGCAUCGUAUAAUUAUGAAAGCUAUAUGCGCUGUGAGAGAGCUUUGCGUCCCAUUAGCUAGUUGGAGAGGUAACGGCUCACCAAGGCGAUGAUGGGUAGCCGGCCUGAGAGGGUGUUCGGCCACAAGGGGACUGAGACACGGCCCUUACUCCUACGGGAGGCAGCAGUGGGGAAUAUUGGACAAUGGACCAAGAGUCUGAUCCAGCAAUUCUGUGUGCACGAUGAAGUUUUUCGGAAUGUAAAGUGCUUUCAGUUGGGAAGAAAAAAAUGACGGUACCAACAGAAGAAGUGACGGCUAAAUACGUG
rnacentral:rRNA from 1 species